AUUCGGUUUCAAAGUCAAUCAGUUUCAUUCGAAUGCCAUUCAAAAUACAUUAACCCACUCAUUCAUAAAAGAUCCAUCACAAAACAUGAAAAUGUCCAAAACAUGAAAAAUUACAAGAAGUUACAACUUUGACCAAUUGUUGACUUUGGUCAACAAUUGACUUUUUGGUCAACUUUGACCAAAGUCAACCCAAUCCCUUUCCAUCAAAAAAACCUAGACCCCCAAUUAUGAUCCUAGCCCUAUCUUCCAAGUUGACCAUUGAUCCUCCGGUUUUUGCCAAGUGUGCAUGAUUUCCUCAAAAUCCAAUUAUAUGUCAUGUUGCUUAAACCCACACAAGCCAAAACAACACUUUAAUGCAGAACCAUACAUCACCAUAUGACUGCACUCUCCUUGCACCAAGACCUGCUAUGAAACGUGAGCAGACAUGACCCUAAAGAACCAAGCGGCCACA
rnacentral:lncRNA from 1 species